UGGUGGAGUGAUUUGUCUGGUUAAUUCCGUUAACGAACGAGACCUCGACCUACUAAAUAGUUUACUGUACCCUUUGGGUGCGUGUAAACUUCUUAGAGGGACUAUCGGUGCGUAGCCGAUGGAAGCUCGAGGCAAUAACA
rnacentral:rRNA from 1 species